GAUCCUGGCUCAGGAUGAACGCUAGCUACAGGCUUAACACAUGCAAGUCGCGGGGCAGCAUUCACUUAGCUUGCUAAGGAAGAUGGCGACCGGCGCACGGGUGAGUAACGCGUAUCCAACCUUCCCAUGUCCACGGGAUAGCCCGUCGAAAGGCGGAUUAAUACCGUAUGAGGUCACAUGCGGGCAUCUAAGUGUGACGAAAGGUUUGGCGGACAUGGAUGGGGAUGCGUCCGAUUAGCUAGUUGGCGGGGUAACGGCCCACCAAGGCGACGAUCGGUAGGGGUUCUGAGAGGAAGGUCCCCCACAUUGGAACUGAGACACGGUCCAAACUCCUACGGGAGGCAGCAGUGAGGAAUAUUGGUCAAUGGGCGAGAGCCUGAACCAGCCAAGUAGCGUGCGGGACGACGGCCCUAUGGGUUGUAAACCGCUUUUGAUUGGGAACAAAGAGCGCCACGUGUGGUGCGUUGCGUGUACCUUUCGAAUAAGCAUCGGCUAAUUCCGUG
rnacentral:rRNA from 1 species